rnacentral:rRNA from 1 species
GACGAACGCUGGCGGCGUGCCUAAUACAUGCAAGUCGAACGCAGUGGGGACGGGUGAGUAACACGUGGGUAACCUCCCAUCAGAGGGGAUAACACUUGGAAACAGGUGCUAAACCGAUACUGAUGGAUGGACCCGAGGUGCAUUAGCUAGUUGGGGAGGUAACGGCUCACCAAGGCACCGAGGCAUAGCCGAUCUGGGAGUUGAAUCGUCCAAACUUGGACUGAGACACGGCCCAGACUCCGACGGGAGGCAGCAGUAGGGAAUUUUCGGCAAUGGACGAAAGUCUGACCGAGCAACGCCGCGGGCGUGAAGAAGGUUUUCGGAUCGUAAAACUCUUUUGUUAGAGAAGCGGUAUCUAACCAGAAAGCCACGGCUAACUACGUGCCAGCAGCCGCGGUAAUAC